UGAGGGUUGAUAGGUUAAGAGCUGAUUAAGAGGACGUUCCCACAGAAGAAGCACCGGCUAACUCGUGCCAGCAGCCGCGGUAAUACGGAGGGUGCAAGCGUUAAUCGGAAUUCUGGGCGUAAAGGGUGCGUAGGUGGUUUGAUAAGUUAUGUGUGAAAUUCCUGGGCUUAACCUGGGACUGUCAGAUAAGACUGUUAGGCUCGAGUAUAGGAGAGGGUAGUGGAAUUUCCGGUGUAGCGGUGAAAUGCGUAGAGAUCGGAAGGAACACCAGUGGCGAAGGCGGCUACCUGGCCUAAUACUGACACUGAGGCACGAAAGCGUGGGGAGCAAACAGGAUUAGAUCCCUGGUAGUCCACGCUGUAAACGAUGUCAACUAGUUGUUGGCCUUAUAGAAGAGGUUAGUGACGCAGCAAACGCGAUAAGUUGAC
rnacentral:rRNA from 1 species